rnacentral:rRNA from 1 species
UACGAAGGGGGCUAGCGUUGCUCGGAUUGACUGGGCGUAAAGGGCGCGUAGGCGGUUCGUACAGUCAGACGUGAAAUUCCUGGGCUCAACCUGGGGGCUGCGUUUGAUACGUGCGGGCUUGAGUUCGGAAGAGGGUCGUGGAAUUCCCAGUGUAGGAGGUGAAAUUCGUAGAUAUUGGGAAGAACACCGGUGGCGAAGGCGGCGACCUGGACCAAUUCUGACGCUGAGGAGCGAAAGCCAGGGGAGCAAACGGG